AGCACGAGGCUUCCCGACCCAGGGGAUCUGAUCUUCUUCCAUUGCUUCAGGCCAAAGAACCCUCAGUGGCCCUCCACAGUGCUCUUGGGCAUUUGGUCCCUGCACAGAGCCAAGGACUCAGCAUUUCACACCACACUUAGAGGGCAGAGACCGUGCCCAGUACAGAGUAUCUACAGGAGAAACACAUGACGUGCUCUCCCUCCGGUCCAUCCCUGGGACCACCCCUCCCCGUGGAGUUCCUCUGACCCAGGAGUUUGCAUCUCCUCUGCAGCCAGGAGGAAUCCAGGGUCAAGGCUACCGUGCGCUGUCGUGAAAGCUGCACCGGUACUGGUACUGAAAUCCAGCCCGCGCUGGUCUCCGAGCUAAGGGCCCACGGAGCAGGCUUACUAAUUACGCCUCUCAUUUUCUGUAUUACUGAUGCUUUGGCAUCUUGGGUCCUUACUGAUCCUGUAGGCUUCCCCUUCCCGUCAUAGUAAACAACUUGCCUGA